CUGAUUUUUGUCAUAUUUCCAAACAACAACCAUAUUGAACAUGACCACUAUAUUCAUCAGAAGUUUCUACUUUUGUCCAUUUUUUCACUUUGCCAUCACUCUCCACAUCCAAAUCCAAAGCAUAAAUACUAUAUAGUUCAUCAAAUUGGCCCCUUCCCACCAAUAUCAACUUCCCUUGACACGCUGUCAAAUAUGCCACGCUGGUAAUCCCUGCUGGCAACCCCCGACACGAUGUCAAAUAUGCCACGCUAGUAAUCCCUGCUGGCAACCUCGUCAACUUCCGCCACGUAGGAUCUUCCUUCACUGCCACGUCACCGCCUCGGCACAUGUAUAAUUUCCCAUCAUCACCUUCAAUGCAACUAUGAGGAGAAGUGUUGAUCACACUCAAGAAGUCAUCUUCCAGUUGCCACUGCCACGUGGCGGUGUCGAACACCUCAGCAUCAUUCUCAAAGUGACCUUGCGCCCACGUAGGAUAACCGCCGAUGACGUGGAAUUUACCUUUGUGAAAUACAACCUUACAUUCGUCUCUCUCCAUGACCAUGUCAGGAAGUGUAAUCCACUCGUCUUUAACGACGUCGUAUGAGAGCGCCGAUUUCAUCGCAUUCUUUUCGUCGUCAUGGCCACCGGCGACGACGAUCAUUCUAUUGGAAUCCGAUGCACAUCCGAAGAAUGACCUCUGCUGACCUGGCAUAUCCGCCCCACGACGCCAUGACCCGGAUAUGAAAUUGUAAACGAAAACACAAUCCAUAACCCGCCAAGUAUCCGGAUCACACCCGCCAAUCACUACUAAAUCCGACCCGACUCCAACAAUCCGGCAAAACCUCGGCAAUCCAUCAAUCAACUCCGGUAUCGGCGGCAAAUCAUACCAGGAGCCGUUUUCCGGGUCACAUACAGAGAGCCGGUAAACCUGAGUAGAAAAAAGUGCAGUAUCACCCUCUGGUUUUUUCACAGUAGCAACCAUAGAUUGUACCAUGGCGAAAACGGUUCGGGUCAACCCAGAAACUUUCCGCCGGCGGCGAAACUCCGGCAACGUGAUCUCGCCGUUCCAUUUUUUGCAUACUGAAGCUGCUUUAGAAAAUUGAUCAACAGGUAGACGUAUGAGACAUUCAAGAGCUAUUUCAUUAGGUAUCCCCGGGAUCAGGUCCAUGGCCCUAGCUCGCCUUUUUGGUAUAUUAUGAUUUGGUCGUAAAUUUGUAUGGAAGAAAAUAUUUGAAGUAAAUUUAGUUAUGUUUUUUCCUUUUUCAGAUUUAGUAGAAAGGGAAAUAAAAUCAUGAAUUUAUGGGGCAAAAUGAAAGGACAUAAUUUAUGGAACGUUGGUUUGACAAAACUGUAAGCGUGACUGGGUCCAGUUUUAUAGUGUUCGUUGGGGAUGGAUAAUGAGUAGUGAAACAAGUUAAAGAGUUUACUUUGUGAAGUAGCAGUGGGGGCAAAGUGGAGGGCACAGAGUCCAGAGAGGUUGUUUUCAGAGUAAUACACACAAGUACUGCAACUUGGUGAAUACGGCUAUAAUCAAAAUUAUAAUUGGCUGGCUAUAAUAUUUAUAGAGUAAUUACAGGCAUAUAACGCGUAGAAGUUCUUGCGAUUGUCACGUGCCAUGACAUCAUUUAUUUAUUUUUUAUCCGAUCUAUAUUAUAUUGUAAAGUUAAAUUGUUCCUAAUUAUAAAAUGGUGACAUUAUUUUUGAGACAGACUAAAAAAAAAAAGAGCGUUAAAUAAAUUGAAACAAAGAGAGUAUCUCACAAGUCAUAUGGUCUCUACAUCAAAUAUAUAGCUAGGUUUAUAAUUGUAAAAUAAUACAUUUAUGUUAAGACUAUAUUUUGUUAAAACAACCCCACAUUAUUAUAUCUACUAACCAUUUAUUUCAUAUGUAAAUAAAAUCUAUAAUCACAUCAUUAUUUUUUAAAAUUUAUUAUUCUCACCAACAUAAAAUUCAUUAUUAAUUUUAAAUUGACGAAUAUAAAUGAUAAAGUAGAAAUUGAUUUGGUGAAUACAAAUAAGAAUCGAGGGAGUAAUAUUUUUUUGGUUUUUCAUAGUAAAAAAAAAAUCUCUUUCGGCUAAAUAUGAAAAUGUUUAAAACAAUUUAAUAUUAAAAUGGACAAAAUUGGUGAUGUAUGUUUGAUAGUUACUACUUCCAGUAUGUUUGAUUUUAGCACGAAACUAAUGCAUUGAAAAUGUGCAAUUGCACACAGGUGAAAUAAGGCAUGAACCAUUAUGAUAUUGACACACACGUGAAAAUUGUCAUAGCUUGUACAAUGUCACAUUUUGCGAGAAUACCAAAGAAGUGAUGGAAUAUUUAUGGUCUAUGAGCAUGAAAAUAUAGUUGCGGAUGAUAUUGACCAACAAAUGGCUCAAAUUAACAAUGUUGGUUCGUCUUCUUUGUCAUAUGAUCGAGAUAUGCAAGUUCAACGUGAGGAGAUUGUAUGUAUUAUGUGGGAGAAUUAUAUUAAAGAUCAGUACGUACACUACAAUUUUAUGUUCAAUUUUUUUAUUGAAUUAAAGUUUGAUCAAUUAAAAUUAGAAGAAAUUGUUACUUAAGUGGAGAACAAAUAACUUUGUAAUAAUUUAUUAUGCGAUUUUAUAAAUUUUUGUUUAUUUUAUAAGAUUGAAUAAACAAUUGGGGGCUAUUUUAAUAGUUUCACAACUUAUAGAAUUCUUAUGUUUAUGAGAAAAUAUACAACACACAUAUUCAAUAUCACAUGUCCAAACAAAACUUCAUUUUCGUCUCAUGAUUUCAUAUUAUGAUAUCAUAUCAUGAUUCUAUAUAAUGAUUUCAUAUCGCAUAUCCAAACAGGCCCUUAAUAUAUACUUAUUUUGUCUAACUUCAGACAAAAAUAUGUUCCUUCUUCACUUUUUCCUCGAACGUCCUCUUCUUUUAUUUCAAAUUUUAAUUUGGUGUUGGUAUGGAGAGUUAAUGCACGCAUGAAUGUAACAAAUACAAUCAUCUGAUAUUUUAAAAAUAUGUAGAAAAGAGAGAAGUGGAAACAUAUAAUACAAUUCAACAAAUACAAUUGCUUAACACUUAAAAAAUAUAGGCCUAACCCAUUGGUAGCCCCCUAAAGUUGGCAUCAUGUUUCACUUAGACAACUUAAGGAGGCAAUGUUCAUUUUAGACAGUUAAUGUAGGGUUUCAUUGUGUCAUUUUGACACUUUUUGUUUACAUAGCAUAACAUUGACUAGCGUGUGAAAUGAUUUUUUUUGUUAAUUUUUAAUUAUAUUUUUCUUCUUCUUCCCAUUUUUUAGCUACCAUUUUGCAUACAUCGUGAAUGAAGGUUUCAAUAACUGAUGGAGUGAAUUUCUUUGAACUAGCAAAAUCUUUCAUUCACUUAAACCUAUUAAUUAGGCCAAAAAAAGAAGGAGAAAGUGACUGUAAAAUUUUUCAAUGGCGCACAGAUUUAGUGAACCAAUGCAGAUGUUUCUGUCAAAGGAAUAAAGGUAUUUAGAGAAGACAAGCCGAUGGGCCAUUUUCUGCAAAAGGUAUGGCGAAGACACACGUUGGGCGGAGAGGAUAAUCAGUGUUUUAGGGGGUGGGGUAUUUGGAGAAAACUGUUUGGGGUGGGGGGUUUCUUUUAUUGAUUUAAGUUUUAUUUUAAUUUGUAAUUAUUUGGUUCAUGUGUCAUAUUAUCAUUGGCUAAUUUUUAUUUUCACUCAAAAUUAAUGAUUUAAAAAUUACUUUUGACAUAAAUGACAAAUGUCGUUAUUUAAUUUGUCACUUUACACGUCGUUCGCGAGUGUAACACACACAUUAUAUAUUUUUGUUGAUAUAAAAAAAGUGUCAAAAUAACACAAUGGGACCCAAUAUUAAGUGUCUAAAAUGAACAUCGCCUACUUAAGAUGUCUAACUGAAAUAUGGUGCCAACUUUAGGGGACUAUCGAUGGAUUAGGCCAAAAAUAUAUAUACAAAUAUAGGCACAGAAGGUGGAAACACAUGCUACAAUCUAAAUCCACUAUGAAAUAUGAAUACAAUAAUUAUAUAUAUCCAAAAAAAUAAUAUAAAUACAGUUGUUUGGUACCUCAACAAAUAUAGAAAUACUUAGAGGGGAGAGUGAAAAUACAAAAUACAAAUAAAGAGGGUGGGGAAAGAUAGAUAUGUUUGUUUGUUUUUUUUACUUAGCAUCUCAAACAAUGUUGAUAUGAAUCGUAAAUAUUCAAACUAUAAUUUUAGAUGGUUAAUUAUAUACCCAAAAUGAUAGUCAUGUUUGAAAUUUUCUCAUUAAUUUAUUCGCAUCAAAGGGAAAAUAUUUGAAACUCCAAUAGUUGACACACCACUAUUAUAAUAUAAGUAUUUCCUCCAUUUUAUUUUAAUAUGUUUCAAAAAGAAACGUCUUUUUUUUUAAGACAAACUCUUUAGUAUUAGCUUUCCACAUAACAUAUUUAAGUUAUCAGAUUAAAAGACAAUUUUAAUGCAUUUUUAGAUAUCUUUAGUUUAAAACCACGAAAUUUUUUUUAAAAAAUAUUUUCUUUAAUGUGAAAGGGAGGGAGAGUACUAGGUAAAACUAUAUAUGUCAUUUACUAUAUAUGGCGUUUACUUGAAAAAAUGCUGAUUAGAGCUUUAUGUAGGAUUCGAGACUGGACCAUUCAACAAAGGUGGACCAUGCAUAUAUAGGCCAUAACUCACUUUUGCUUUUUUGUUUUACCCUUUAAUUUUCUAUACUAACUUGGGAUAUUAAUUGGAUCACACUUUUAUAUGGAUGUGGUAGAAUUAUAUAUUCAUAUCUAUUGAAUUACUAGAUAUAGGACCCCGUGCCAGCACGGGGCCCAAUAUAUAUAUAUAUUUUUUUUUUAUUAUUAUUAUUAUUUUUUUUUAAUUUAUGUCAUAUUAUGGAAUUUGAGAAAUUAUUGAAAAUUUUAUAUGAUUUUUAAAAUAUUUUAAAUUGUUAGCUAUUGUGAUUUGUAGUACUUUUUUUUUAACAUAAUUUUGAAAAUAAUAUUUAUUACUCUCUUUGUUCUAAUUUAUGUGGCACAUGCAAAAUUUCAAAUAUUAACCCUUUUUUAUAUGUCUCUUUAAUAUAUUAAGUUGUUAAUUAUUGUAUUUUAUACUACAUUUUGAACCUACUUUUUUAAUAAUAUAUGUUAUUUGCCAUGUCCCAAUUUAUGUGGCAUUAAUUGAUAGAUUUGUUGGAGCUUGUUAAUUAUUGUAAUAUAUAAUAUGGAGUAUUUAAGUUAUAUAUAUUUAUUAUUAUUAUAAAUAUAAAUAUAAAUAUUAUAUGUUACCUUUUUUAUCUUAAUUUAUAUGGCAUUGAUAGAAUUUAAAGUGUCAAAUAAUUGUUAAUUAUUGUAAUAUAUAAUAUGGAGUAUUUAAGUUAUAUAUAUUUAUUAUUAUUAUAAAUAUAAAUAUAAAUAUUAUAUGUUACCUUUUUUAUCUUAAUUUAUAUGGCAUUGAUAGAAUUUAAAGUGUCAAAUAAUUGUUAAUUAUUGUAAUAUAUAAUAUGGAGUAUUUAAGUCAUUUAUAGUAUAGUAAUUAAUAUAUAAUAUGUAGUAUUAAAGUGGAAAGUGGUGGGGCCCACGUAUAAAUAUAUUGGAUAUUAGUAGUGAUUCUUAUUGGAACACAUGUUGAGGUGUGGUGCUUGGUUAUUCACACUUAUUAUAUAUAGUAAUAUAAAUUUUAAAAGAAAAGAUUCUUUGAGUCUUCUCGAAGGAAAAAGACCGCAAAGAGAAGUUCAUGAUAUCUCUUUCGGAUGAAUUGUCAAAAGUUUAAAAUUUAUAAAUCGUGAAUUCAUAUAACAAUAUAAUUUAGUCAUUGAGUUCAUACAUUUAAUAUGUUGAGAGAGAUCUAAACAAAACUUAUUUGAUUUGUUCGAGCCAACACCUCUUUCUACCAAAGAAACAUGACAUGAAGGGUGAUGGUCAAGUGUUCUGGCAUGAUUCGUUGUCAUGGAAAAAUCCAUUUGCUUAUAACACUACUAUAAAAUGUGAUAGUUUUGGCAACAUUGUAUGUUUUAUAUAUUGGAGAUUUCAAAGUUUUUAAUUGUCUUUUUAUAUAUAUACCAUAUUAUUGUAAGCUAACCAAUGAUGUGGACAACUCGUGUAAAAUACUUUGCCACAGCUAGUUUUAAUCUUUUGUUAUUAUAAUGAUAGUAUAAAAUUUGUUUAAACUAUUAAAUAUAACACAAAUUAUUUAACUCGUGCGUUACAUGCUUGAUUUAUUAAGUGUACCUGAGUCGGGUAUAAAAAAUGAUACUCUUUCUAUAUUCAUUCACAAGAUAAAAAUAAUUAAGAUUGCGUACACAUUACUAUCUUCAAACCCCGCGCAUAGAAAGAAACUUUAGAGUGACGAAAAUUGUGGAGUAGAUUUUUUUUGUUAGUAUCCCAAACUUUAUUAGUCACUACCAUAAGAUUCUCUAUAGCUGGACAAAGCUGCUACGUAAAUAAAAUAAAAGGGGAAAGAAGAAAAAGAGGUAAGGUUGUUUUUAAAACUGAAAGGAAUAAAGGGAAGAGGAAAAAGGAAAAGCGACUAAAUUAAAUUAAAUUAAAUUAAAUGGGAAUAAAGGUAAUCUUCUUGUUUUUUAACAAAGGCUAACCACACUAUAGAUGACUAGCCAUAAAGGCAAAAUGUAUGGUUCAAAUUGCAGACGUGGUAAUGUACACAUUUUAUGUUAGAUGAGAAAACACACUUGAACCAAAAAAAAUAAAAAAAAUAAUGAGAAAAGACGUUUCCUAUUGGUGUUCUAGAUUCGCGCCAUGUAUGACCUAUUAGCGUUGUUUAUCAAGAAUAUUUUCAUCUUCAAAAGUCAAAUUCGAGACUUUUGAUUGAGGAAAGAGCAACUUCAUUCACUUUACCACGUAACAGAUGAUAGUUUUUUCGAUUAUUAGACGGCAACUGACAUUCGAUUAUUCUUUGUCCAUUUUUAGUGCUGUUAAAUCGAUUAGUAUAAUUUGUUUGUUUCCGCAUGUUUGUACGAAGAAUAAGGAAUAGUUAUUAAUUUCAUAAUUAAUUUAAGAUGCAUUUAUUAUAUGUUUGAUUGAGAUAAAAUUAUAAGAUAAUUUACUUUGAGAUUGUAGUGUUAUUUUUAUCCCACAUUAAGAAUGACGAGGCGAGUAACAAAUAUAAAGAGAUAUUAAUAUGGUGCAAAAGAGAGAAAUAAAAUACCCUCUAAUUAAAAAAAAAUUAUUAAAGGGAUGUACAAAACAAAAUACACCCUUGAUUCCUUUUUAUUUGUCACAGUUUCAUUUUUAUAGUGAAACGAUAUGAACUUUGACUAAUAAUUUAAGAUGUAUUUUUCAGUAUUAUUGAUAUAAAAAAAAUUGUAAUUUCUAGUACUUUUUGUAUAGUUUUUGAAUAUCUAAUUUUUUUAUUUUUAAAUAUAUUAAAUUAAUGCAAAACAUUGAAAGUUAAUACUCUAAAAAAAUGUAACGUGACGGCUAAACAGGAACGGAUGGAGUAUAACAAGCAAGAUGGACCAUAGGGAGAAAUUUCUUCCUCAUUAAUACUUAUUAUUGAUUUGUCAGGAAGAAGAAUCAUCUUACCAAGUUGAUUAGCUAAUUAAUCUGAUUAUAAAGUCAACUCCAACAUUAUUGUAAUGAGCAUUAAUUAAUAAUAACAUGUUUAAUUGAACAAAUUCAAGCAUUAGCCACCGAUAUCAUCGAUCCACUUGCUCUAAACCAUCCAUUUUUCAACUUCAUUAUUUUGAGAAUGUAUAAUAGCUUCUUCCCAUAUUUUUUAAUUAAAUGAUGUUUGCAGAUAAUUAUUGAUUCAUUACACUUAAUGUCAAUAAAAUUGAUUUUUGUAACGAAAAAAUUACUCAACUAUGUUUAUAUCGUAAAGGAAAUUUUAAAAUAUCAACAAAAUGAUAUUUUUUUCUUUUUCUUGGUAUUUUUAUUUUGGGAUCCCACUAAUUCAGCAUUUUCGAUAAAAUGUUUUGUUCGACUCUACAAACACAAAUAUCUCUAUAGUAGUACCAAGCAAAAACGUUUUUUUCCUCCAUUAGAUUAGCAAAAGUGUGGCACAAUAGUAAUCUUUAACCAUGACUGCAAGAAAUUGAAUGUCAAAUGUAGGCAGUAGGCCAAUACUAUGCUUUUUCACAUGUAGUAUUUUGUCAAAACAUGAUUCACAAUACACAAUGGUACAUAGCCAAAAAUAAAAGCAAUCAUGACAGAAUAAUUUUAUUUUAUUUUUCCAUUUGUUAUCUGAUAAUCGUAUUAAGGUUUGAUUAGUCCAAAUUUGUAUAUUACAUGACUCAUUGUUAAAGGCGGUGCUUCCAACAAAAUUAAAAAAUGAGACGGAUCGAGAUAGAAGAUCUCUAACCAUGACCAUAAUGCAAUAACAAUAUGUAGAUAGUAAUCAAUAUGGAUCGUGGUGAAAUGAUUGAGAUUCCUCUAUCCUUGACCAGAAAUUUCAUAUUCGAGCCCUAAUAUGCCGAAUGAAAAAAGAAGACAAUAUGCAGAUAGUAAACCAAUUCAAAACUUGAAACACAAUACACAACUGUACAUGCUAAAAAUUAGAGCAAUCAUGCCAGAAUAAUUGAGUAUCUUAGAAAGGAAAUUAAAAGGACAAAAAAACACUCUCAUUCUUAAAACUAAGUACUGAUUUUUGUCAUAUUUCCAAACAACAACCAUAUUGAACAUGACCACUAUAUUCAUCAGAAGUUUCUACUUUUGUCCAUUUUUUCACUUUGCCAUCACUCUCCACAUCCAAAUCCAAAGCAUAAAUACUAUAUAGUUCAUCAAAUUGGCCCCUUCCCACCAAUAUCAACUUCCCUUGACACGCUGUCAAAUAUGCCACGCUGGUAAUCCCUGCUGGCAACCCCGCCAACUUCUGCC
rnacentral:lncRNA from 1 species